rnacentral:rRNA from 1 species
CCUACGGGGGGCAGCAGUGGGGAAUAUUGGACAAUGGGGGCAACCCUGAUCCAGCCAUGCCGCGUGUGUGAAGAAGGCCCCCGGGUUGUAAAGCACUUUCAGUGAGGAAGAACGCCUGGUGGUUAAUACCCAUCAGGAAAGACAUCACUCACAGAAGAAGCACCGGCUAACUCCGUGCCAGCAGCCGCGGUAAUACGGAGGGUGCGAGCGUUAAUCGGAAUUACUGGGCGUAAAGCGCGCGUAGGUGGCUUGAUAAGCCGGUUGUGAAAGCCCCGGGCUCAACCUGGGAACGGCAUCCGGAACUGUCAAGCUAGAGUGCAGGAGAGGAAGGUAGAAUUCCCGGUGUAGCGGUGAAAUGCGUAGAGAUCGGGAGGAAUACCAGUGGCGAAGGCGGCCUUCUGGACUGACACUGACACUGAGGUGCGAAAGCGUGGGUAGCAAACAGGAUUAGAUACCCUUGUAGUC